GGCGGGGUAGCUCAGUUGGUUAGAGCGUGGGACUCAUAACCCCAAGGUCGGCAGUUCAACUCUGCCUCCCGCUACCA
rnacentral:tRNA from 1 species